AACGUAGGGGGCGAGCGUUGCCCGGAUUCACUGGGCGUAAAGCGGGUGUAGGCGGUCCGUUAAGUCGGGUGUGAAAUCUCCAGGCUCAACCUGGAAACUGCACCCGAUACUGGCGGACUUGAGGACGGUAGGAGGUCGGUGGAAUGAGCGGUGUACCGGUGAAAUGGACAGAUAUCGCUCAGAACACCAGUGGCGAAGGCGGCCGACUGGGCCGUUCCUGACGCUGAGGCGGCGAAAGCGUGGGGAGCAACAGG
rnacentral:rRNA from 1 species